rnacentral:tRNA from 1 species
GCAAAACGGGAAUAAAUCAUGAAUACCGGCUCUGGCGCUGCCCUCCGAAGGCAGAGGCCAGAGGUUCGAAUCCUCUCAGGUGCGCCA